rnacentral:rRNA from 1 species
AAAAAGCUCGUAGUUGGAUUUCUGUCGAAGACGGCCGGUCCGCUCUUUGAGCGUGUAUCUGGUUCGGCUUUGGCAUCCUCGUGGGGUACGUAACUGUGCUUGAUUGCAUGGUGCGGAAUUCACGACUUUUACUUUGAGGAAAUUAGAGUGUUCACGGCAGGCAUGAGCCUUGAAUACAUUAGCAUGGAAUAAUAAUAUAGGACUUUGGUUUUAUUUUGUUGGUUUCUAGAACUAAAGUAAUGAUUAAUAGGGAUAAUUGGGGGCAUUUGUAUUAACGCGUCAGAGGUGGAAUUCUUGGAUUGCGUUACGACAAACUACUGCGAAAGCAUUUGCCAAGGAUGUUUUCAUUAAUCAAGAACGAAAGUUAGGGGAUCAAAGACGAUCAGAUACCGUCCUAGUCUUAACCAUAAACUAUGCCGACUCGGGAUCGGGAGCGUGUGUUAUCCGCUUUCGGCACCGUAUGAGAAAUCAAAGUCUUUGGGGUUCUGGGGGGGAGUAUGGUCGCAA